rnacentral:rRNA from 1 species
UACGUAGGGUGCGAGCGUUGUCCGGAAUUAUUGGGCGUAAAGGGCUCGUAGGCGGUCUGUCGCGUCGGGAGUGAAAACUCAGGGCUUAACCCUGAGCCUGCAGUGGAUACGGGCAGACUAGAGGUAGGUAGGGGAGAAUGGAAUUCCCGGUGUAGCGGUGAAAUGCGCAGAUAUCGGGAGGAACACCGGUGGCGAAGGCGGUUCUCUGGGCCUUACCUGACGCUGAGGAGCGAAAGCGUGAGGAGCGAACAGG